rnacentral:rRNA from 1 species
AGAGUUUGAUUAUGGCUCAGAACGUACGCUGGCGGCACGCCUAACACAUGCAAGUCGAACGAAGUAGCAAUACUUAGUGGCAGACGGGUGAGUAACAUGUAGGUAUCUGCCCUUUGGCCUGGAAUAACACGAGGAAACUUGUGCUAAUACCGGAUAAGUCUUUACGGAGAAAGCUUUAUGCACCAUUGGAUGAGCCUGCACUUGAUUAGUUUGUUGGUAGGGUAAUGGCCUACCAAGACUGUGAUCAAUAGCUGAUUUGAGAGGAUGAUCAGCCACAUUGGGACUGAGACACGGCCCAAACUCCUACGGGAGGCAGCAGUGGGGAAUCUUGCACAAUGGAGGAAACUCUGAUGCAGCGAUGCCGCGUGAGUGAAGAAGGCCUUUGGGUUGUAAAGCUCUUUCGUCGGGGAAGAAAAUGACUGUACCCGAAUAAGAAGGUCCGGCUAACUUCGUGCCAGCAGCCGCGGUAAUACGAAGGGACCUAGCGUAGUUCGGAAUUACUGGGCUUAAAGAGUUCGUAGGUGGUUGAAAAAGUUGGUGGUGAAAUCCCAGAGCUUAACUCUGGAACUGCCAUCAAAACUUUUCAGCUAGAGUUUGAUAGAGGAAAGCAGAAUUUCUAGUGUAGAGGUGAAAUUCGUAGAUAUUAGAAAGAAUACCAAUUGCGAAGGCAGCUUUCUGGAUCAUUACUGACACUGAGGAACGAAAGCAUGGGUAGCGAAGAGGAUUAGAUACCCUCGUAGUCCAUGCCGUAAACGAUGUGUGUUAGACGUUGGAAAUUUAUUUUCAGUGUCGCAGCGAAAGCGAUAAACACACCGCCUGGGGAGUACGACCGCAAGGUUAAAACUCAAAUGAAUUGACGGGGACCCGCACAAGUAGUGGAGCAUGUGGUUUAAUUCGAAGAUACGCGCAGAACCUUACCAACACUUGACAUGUUCGUCGCAACUCUAAGAGAUUAGAGUUUUCGGUUCGGCCGGACGAAACACAGGUGCUGCAUGGCUGUCGUCAGCUCGUGUCGUGAGAUGUUGGGUUAAGUCCCGCAACGAGCGCAACCCUCACUUUUAGUUGCCAUCAUUAAGUUGGGCACUCUGAAAGAACUGCCAGUGAUAAGCUGGAGGAAGGUGGGGAUGACGUCAAGUCCUCAUGGCCCUUACGUGUUGGGCUACACACGUGCUACAAUGGUAUCUACAACAGGAAGCAAAACUGCGAAGUUAAGCAAAUCCCUAAAAGAUACCUCAGUUCGGAUUGCACUCUGCAACUCGAGUGCAUGAAGCUGGAAUUACUAGUAAUCGUGGAUCAGCGUGCCACGGUGAAUGCGUUCCCGGGUCUUGUACACACCGCCCGUCACACCAUGGGAGUUGGUUCUACCUUAAGGCAAGGCUUUAAACCCUUGACCACGGUAUAGUCAGCGACUGGGGUGAAGUCGUAACAAGGUA